UUGAACGCUGGCGGCAGGCCUAACACAUGCAAGUCGAACGGUAACAGGAAACAGCUUGCUGUUUCGCUGACGAGUGGCGGACGGGUGAGUAAUGUCUGGGAAACUGCCUGAUGGAGGGGGAUAACUACUGGAAACGGUAGCUAAUACCGCAUAACGUCGCAAGACCAAAGAGGGGGACCUUCGGGCCUCUUGCCAUCAGAUGUGCCCAGAUGGGAUUAGCUAGUAGGUGGGGUAACGGCUCACCUAGGCGACGAUCCCUAGCUGGUCUGAGAGGAUGACCAGCCACACUGGAACUGAGACACGGUCCAGACUCCUACGGGAGGCAGCAGUGGGGAAUAUUGCACAAUGGGCGCAAGCCUGAUGCAGCCAUGCCGCGUGUAUGAAGAAGGCCUUCGGGUUGUAAAGUACUUUCAGCGGGGAGGAAGGGAGUAAAGUUAAUACCUUUGCUCAUUGACGCUACCCGCAGAAGAAGCACCGGCUAACUCCGUG
rnacentral:rRNA from 1 species